CAAGAAGUUUUUCUGAGCUUAUUCUUGAAAAGGGUCAUCCAAAUCUCAUUGUAACUUCAGCAGAUGAAAUAUUCAAUUGCGUUAUUCAAAUUUAUGCUGAAGAUGAAGAUGCUCCAUUGCCAUGCUAUGAAGAAAUACUUUUAUGUUCUUUAAAUACAACUCUGGAACAAGUAAUAGUGUUUUGGAUGAGAGCUUUGUUUGAUAAAAAUCCAGGAAAAAUUUAUUGUUUAGUUCAUGCUGAAAAACUUAGCUAUUUGGUAGCUGAUAAAGCCAUUGAUUUGCUUUCAUAUCUUUCACAAGGAAUAAAUGAUUAUAGAUUAGUUAUUGUGUGCAGUAACGAAUCUGAAGGAAAAUCCCAUGUUUUAGCACGUCUUAAUACUUAUCACCGUGAUUGGAAAAAGAAUGAUGAUACAGAUGCCCUGAAAAGAUAUUUGAAAAAGCAUUUAAUACCUAAGACU